AUUGAACGCUGGCGGCAUGAUUUACACAUGCAAGUCGAACGGUAACAGGCCGCAAGGUGCUGACGAGUGGCGAACGGGUGAGUAAUGCAUCGGAACGUGCCCAGUCGUGGGGGAUAACUACUCGAAAGAGUAGCUAAUACCGCAUACGAUCUAUGGAUGAAAGCGGGGGACCGUAAGGCCUCGCGCGAUUUGAGCGGCCGAUGUCAGAUUAGGUAGUUGGUGUGGUAAAGGCUCACCAAGCCAACGAUCUGUAGCUGGUCUGAGAGGACGACCAGCCACACUGGGACUGAGACACGGCCCAGACUCCUACGGGAGGCAGCAGUGGGGAAUUUUGGACAAUGGGCGCAAGCCUGAUCCAGCAAUGCCGCGUGCAGGAAGAAGGCCUUCGGGUUGUAAACUGCUUUUGUACGGAACGAAACGGCUCUGGUUAAUACCCGGGGCUAAUGACGGUACCGUAAGAAUAAGCACCGGCUAACCACGUG
rnacentral:rRNA from 1 species